rnacentral:rRNA from 1 species
UGGGGAAUUUUGGACAAUUGGGUAAACCCUGAUCCAGCCAUCCCGCGUGUGCGAUGAAGGCCUUCGGGUUGUAAAGCACUUUUGGCAGGAAAGAAACGUCAUGGGUUAAUACCCCGUGAAACUGACGGUACCUGCAGAAUAAGCACCGGCUAACUACGUGCCCGCAGCCGCGGUAAUACGUAGGGUGCAAGCGUUAAUCGGAAUUACUGGGCGUAAAGCGUGCGCAGGCGGUUCGGAAAGAAAGAUGUGAAAUCCCAGAGCUAAACUUUGGAACUGCAUUUUUAACUACCGGGCUAGAGUGUGUCAGAGGGAGGUGGAAUGCCGCGUGUAGCAGUGAAAUGCGUAGAUAUGCGGAGGAACAGCGAUGGAGAAGGCAGCCUCCUGGGAUAACACUGACGCUCAUGCACGAAAGGGUGGGGAGCAAACAGG